rnacentral:rRNA from 1 species
GAUGAACGCUGGCGGCGUGCCUAAUACAUGCAAGUCGAGCGAACGGACGAGAAGCUUGCUUCUCUGAUGUUAGCGGCGGAGGGGUGAGUAACACGUGGAUAACCUACCUAUAAGACUGGGAUCACUUCGGGAAACCGGCGCUAAUACCGGAUAAUAUUUUGAACCGCAUGGUUCAAAAGUGAAAGACGGUCUUGCUGUCAGUUAUAGAUGGUUCCGGGCUGCAUUAGCUAGUUGGUAAGGUAACGGCAUACCAAGGCAACACUGACUAGCCGACCUGAGAGGGUGAUCGUGCGCACUGGAGCUGAGACAGAGUCCAGACUCCUGCGGGACGCACCAGUGUCGCAUCGGCCCCAAUGGUCAGAAGCCUUACGCACCAACGCCCCGUGAGUGAUGAAGGUCUUCUGAUCGUAAAACUCUGUUAUUGGGGAAAAACCUAUUUGUAAGGAACUGUACACAUCUUAACGGUACCUAGUCAGAAAGCCACGGCUAACUACGUG